rnacentral:lncRNA from 1 species
AAGCCUUUUGUUGUUUAUUUCUUUUUCUUUAAAACUCCAGCUUCUGGAAUCAUGAGAAUGCAUGAAAAUCUCUACUCCUGCUUUCUGUCAUAUGUUUGUUUUCCCUUGAGUUUUUAGCACUGAGAACUAUGGAGAAACUUCUGGGUGUCAUCUGAGAGAUGAAAAAUAGAAUUCAUUAACAUUUUUUUUUGUUUGUUUUGUUUUGUUGGUUUUGUUUUUUAAAUACCACUGGGAUAAUUUUCGGAAACUAUGACUCAUGAUUUUAAUGUUUAGAUUUGGCAGUGCUGUAGUUCUCCCUAGGACCAGGAGUGUUGGAAGAAGCCAUGUGGGGCUCAUCUCCACGGACAAGUUCCAGCACAGAGAGCCAGGGUGUGAAUUUACAGUGCCCUACUUAGGUUGCACAGAUUCCUCAUGAGGAUGCAGAGUGUGCAGUACCUGCCCUUUGGAAGCAUUCUCAGGGCAUGUCUCUGUGACAUCCAGCCCUAGAGCUCUCACCAACCUUCUCCAGCUCUGGACUGAAGGCAGCAGAGCCAUUCCAUGCUUCAAACUGCACUUACUGGCAUGAACACAGCUCCGAGUGAAGGCUCUUCUGCAUCUCUUGUAAGGUCAUUAGUAGGACAAUCUAGAGGAGAAGUGGAAGAAAACCCAACUACCAUCACUCCCACUCCCACCAAACCCUUGGAAAUGCCGUGGAAAUAGGACCUGCGUGAAGACCUUUAGGGCAUAAGCACAUGAAGUGUUUGGGAGAGGUACCUGGAACAUGGGAAUCCAGAGAAAACUACUUUGUUUACUGCACCAAAGUCUCCCAGAGCUGUGGAGAGUCCGCACGGAUGAAAGUUGGCAGCCAGGCUGCAGGUGGGAUUAGCUAUGCUUUGGUGCUCACAGCAGUUGACAAGGAGGAGACAAUGGGAGAACACGAUGUGUUGUGCUGUUGUCUAAAAGCAGACGGGUAGGUGGGAACCUUCAGGCAGGUUUCUGCCUGCAGUGCUUCUGGUUUGGUACACCUGGCCCGUGGCAGGCAAACCUGGAUUGCCCUGUGUGUCCUCAUGAACCUGAGCACAGGGCUCAGGUCUCAGCAGCCACCAGUGUCACUGUGU